GCCCCGUUAGUCUAGCCCGGUCAAGGAUUCGGCCCUUUCAAGGCCGAGACGCGAGUUCGAAUCUCGCACGGGGCA
rnacentral:tRNA from 1 species